rnacentral:rRNA from 1 species
UACGUAGGGUGCGAGCGUUAAUCGGAAUUACUGGGCGUAAAGCGUGCGCAGGCGGUUCGUUAAGUCAGAUGUGAAAGCCCCGGGCUCAACCUGGGAACUGCAUUUGAAACUGGCGGGCUUGAGUGCGGCAGAGGGGGGUGGAAUUCCGCGUGUAGCAGUGAAAUGCGUAGAGAUGCGGAGGAACACCGAUGGCGAAGGCAGCCCCCUGGGCCGACACUGACGCUCAGGCACGAAAGCUAGGGGAGCAAACAGG